rnacentral:rRNA from 1 species
GGGUUCUACCGUCGGUCGGGCUACCAAGUCUGUACUGGUGUGUAGAACUUCUACCUUCUGGGGAACCAUCAUGUUAUUAAUUUAGCGUGGUGGGAAACCAGGACCUUUACCUUGAAAAAAUUAGAGUGUUCAAAGCAGGCUUAUGUCUGAAUACAUUAGCAUGGAAUAAUAGAAUAGGACGGUGGUCCUGUUUUGUUGGUUUCUGAAUCACCGUAAUGAUUAAUAGGGAUAGUUG